rnacentral:sRNA from 1 species
UGACAGUACACUUUUUGGGUGUCCAGA